AUUGAACGCUGGCGGCAUGCCUUACACAUGCAAGUCGAACGGUAACAGGUCUUCGGAUGCUGACGAGUGGCGAACGGGUGAGUAAUACACCGGAACGUGCCUAGUAGUGGGGGAUAACUACUCGAAAGAGUGGCUAAUACCGCAUGAGAUCUACGGAUGAAAGCAGGGGAUCGCAAGACCUUGUGCUACUAGAGCGGCCGAUGGCAGAUUAGGUAGUUGGUGGGAUAAAAGCUUACCAAGCCGACGAUCUGUAGCUGGUCUGAGAGGACGAUCAGCCACACUGGGACUGAGAAACGGCCCAGACUCCUACGGGAGGCAGCAGUGGGGAAUUUUGGACAAUGGGCGCAAGCCUGAUCCAGCAAUGCCGCGUGCAGGAUGAGGCCUUCGGGUUGUAAACUGCUUUUGUACGGAACGAAAAGCCCCGGGUUAAUACCCUGGGGUCAUGACGGUACCGUAAGAAUAAGCACCGGCUAACUACGUGCCAGCCGCCGCGGUAA
rnacentral:rRNA from 1 species